UACAGAGGUCUCAAGCGUUGUUCGGAUUCAUUGGGCGUAAAGCGUGCGCAGGCGGUUUUGUAAGCCAGAUGUGAAAUCCCCGGGCUUAACCUGGGAAUGGCAUUUGGGACUGCAAGGCUGGAGUGCGGCAGAGGAGACUGGAAUUCCUGGUGUAGCAGUGAAAUGCGUAGAUAUCAGGAGGAACACCUGCGGUGUAGACGGCUUACUGGACGGUAACUGACGCUGAGGCACGAAAGCGUGGGUAGCAAACAGG
rnacentral:rRNA from 1 species